UUCACUAAUUCAAGACUUGGAAAAAAAGGAAUUCCCUCCAAAAUAUUUAGCUCUAAAAUUUUUGUGCCUAAAUUAUAGCCUUCUUCUUCUAUUAGAUUGACUAGUAAGAUUAGAGAGUCAGAAACCCUAAAAGCUUAAAACUCUCAAAAUCAAUCAUUUACAGAGGAGCAAGAUUUCUCAUUACUCACGUGAAUCAACCUAAAAUCCCCGGAAGAAAGAUUCGAGGUCCUAUAGCAGAUUCAUAUAGCUCAACGACUAAAUUACUCUUAUUAUGUUUUUGGACUCCACACGAGGGGGUAAUUGAAGACUAAGAGAAAAAGAUUUU